UACGUAGGGUGCAAGCGUUGUCCGGAAUUAUUGGGCGUAAAGAGCUCGUAGGCGGUUUGUCGCGUCUGCUGAGCGAACUGGACCGUACCCGGCUGCAGUGGGUACGGGCAGACUAGAGUGCGGUAGGGGAGACUGGAAUUCCUGGUGUAGCGGUGAAAUGCGCAGAUAUCAGGAGGAACACCGGUGGCGAAGGCGGGUCUCUGGGCCGUAACUGACGCUGAGGAGCGAAAGCAUGGGGGAGCGAACAGG
rnacentral:rRNA from 1 species